AUGCCUUUCGGCCUUUUGGCUAAGAUCAAGUGUAGUAUCUGUUCUUAUCAGUUCAAAUUAUUUUCAAUGCAUGUUUGUGAUUCCAUCUUUU
rnacentral:snRNA from 1 species